CCAUGAGUAACACUAGCUAGAAAAGAGGUAAGGCACCCAAGUCGAAUUUUAGCGUGUCCACGAGGCAAGGACUGUUAGAAAAUUCAAUCAGAUCUUAGUUUCUUAUUAACGUGUCACUUGGUCUGAGCUUUAAAAUCUUGACAGUAGUGUUUCUUAGUGAGCUGGUACACCCUUACCGACAGCUGUAUCUAACGGGGUCCUCAGAUCCACGGGGCAGGCUAAGAAGAGAGCUGCUUUUAUUUUUCACAUUUGAUUAAGUGGGCACCGGAUAACCAGUGGAAUUAAAACCAUUCAAAAGGCCUCUCCAAGGAAUAGGGCGACAGGCCAGCAAAUAUAUUGUCAUCUCUCAAGGAUUCUAUUUUAGCGAACAGCUAAAGGAUAAGGCUACCUUCAAGUGGGCGCAGAGACGUCCUAAAGCCUCUCUAUUUAACUAACACGGGAAGACUGUGCCCUCCAACCACAGCAUUCGCUAUCCUGUACAGCCAAUCUUAACACAGCCAGCCAACACUGUCUUCCUCCUAAAAGCACCACAGCAUCACCCAGGAGCACUGAUCAGCCCGAGAGGCUUUGCUGAGUGCAGGGAGCAUGCUCUGCCCUAACUCAGAGGAAUCGAGUCUUGGGCCAGCACCCACACCACCCGGACCAUUUGUUUUAGAACAACCGAGGAGACAGAGAGCCUCUCUGAGCCAGGGAUGUUUCUAGAAAGUCGGCCAAACUUUUCCUUUAAAGUUUAAAGAAUAUCAGAGGCCUGGGAGGGAUAGAGGUGGAGA
rnacentral:lncRNA from 1 species